AGCCUGAUCUAGCCAUGCCGCGUGAGUGAUGAAGGCCUUAGGGUCGUAAAGCUCUUUCGCUGGGGAAGAUAAUGACGGUACCCAGUAAAGAAACCCCGGCUAACUCCGUGCCAGCAGCCGCGGUAAUACGGAGGGGGUUAGCGUUGUUCGGAAUUACUGGGCGUAAAGCGCGCGUAGGCGGAUCAGAAAGUUGGGGGUGAAAUCCCGGGGCUCAACCUCGGAACUGCCUCCAAAACUCCUGGUCUUGAGUUCGAGAGAGGUGAGUGGAACUCCGAGUGUAGAGGUGAAAUUCGUAGAUAUUCGGAAGAACACCAGUGGCGAAGGCGGCUCACUGGCUCGAUACUGACGCUGAGGUGCGAAAGUGUGGGGAGCAAACAGGAUUAGAUACCCUGGUAGUCCACACCGUAAACGAUGAAUGCCAGUCGUCGGGUAGCAUGCUAUUCGGUGACACACCUAACGGAUUAAGCAU
rnacentral:rRNA from 1 species